GACGAAGGGGGCUAGCGUUGUUCGGAAUUACUGGGCGUAAAGCGCGUGUAGGCGGUUGCCCAAGUCGGGUGUGAAAGCCUUGAGCUCAACUCAAGAAAUGCACUCGGUACUGGGUGACUAGAGGACCGGAGAGGAUAGUGGAAUUCCCAGUGUAGUGGUGAAACACGUAGAGAUUGGGAAGAACACCAGUGGCGAAGGCGGCUAUCUGGACGGUUUCUGACGCUAAGACGCGAAAGCGUGGGGAGCAAACAGG
rnacentral:rRNA from 1 species